rnacentral:hammerhead_ribozyme from 1 species
AUCCAGCUGACGAGUCUCAAAUAGAGGACGAAACGCACGUCCUCCAU